AGUGAACGCUGGCGGUAGGCCUAACACAUGCAAGUCGAACGGCAGCACAGUAAGAGCUUGCUCUUACGGGUGGCGAGUGGCGGACGGGUGAGGAAUACAUCGGAAUCUACUUUUUCGUGGGGGAUAACGUAGGGAAACUUACGCCAAUACCGCAUACGACCUACGGGUGAAAGCAGGGGAUCUUCGGACCUUGCGCGAUUGAAUGAGCCGAUGUCGGAUUAGCUAGUUGGCGGGGUAAAGGCCCACCAAGGCGACGAUCCGUAGCUGGUCUGAGAGGAUGAUCAGCCACACUGGAACUGAGACACGGUCCAUACUCCUACGGGAGGCAGCAGUGGGGAAUAUUGGACAAUGGGCGCAAGCCUUAUCCAGCCAUACCGCGUGGGUGAAGAAGGCCUUCGGGUUGUAAAGCCCUUUUGUUGGGAAAGAAAAGCAGCAGGUUAAUACCCCGCUGUUCUGACGGUACCCAAAGAAUAAGCACCGGCUAACUUCGUG
rnacentral:rRNA from 1 species